AUUGUACCUGGCAAAUACUUUAAAAUGCCAAAUACAGUUGAAGAAUGAUGACCAAGGAUCACAAGGUGGGAAAUACACCCCCUUAGUUACACUAAUCCACCGUAUCGUUUACGUGUACACCAAGGGGAAACCCAUCUUCAUAUCCAUGCUUCAUCCAAGUGGAUUUUUUGUCGGCUGUUACGGACUCAUGGAAUGGAUUACAGCCCUUGAAAACUAUUCAGUCGAUUUACGGGACAUUUACUUCCUUUUUUACGGACUAAAACUCAUUUAUCAUUUAUCAUUGAUUAUGAUGAACACGGGACUAAACUUGCUCACGUGCAGGCAUUGAGAAAGCUCACGUGCAGGAGAAGUUAGCCGUCAAAGAAAUGGUGUUGUUCUGUGAAAACCGCAAAGUUUGUCGAAACGUCAGAAUUGCACAUUUCUUAGAUGAAACACCACGACCAUGUGAUCGUAAUUCGUCAGCCGUUUGCGACAUUUGCGCAUCUGAAGCCAUAUAUAAAGAAGUUGACGUCAUACAACAUGUUUGUGAUGUAAGGGAAACUGUUAUGUAAAAUUUCUCGACUCGUUUCACAAUUUCAUUUAUCGUGGAUGUAUUCCGCGCCGACAAAAAGAGGAGCUUGCAUACCGGCG